CAGCAGCCGCCGCGGGAAUACAGAGGGUGCGAGCGUUAAUCGGAUUUACUGGGCGUAAAGCGUGCGUAGGCGGCUUUUUAAGUCGGAUGUGAAAUCCCUGAGCUUAACUUAGGAAUUGCAUUCGAUACUGGGAAGCUAGAGUAUGGGAGAGGAUGGUAGAAUUCCAGGUGUAGCGGUGAAAUGCGUAGAGAUCUGGAGGAAUACCGAUGGCGAAGGCAGCCAUCUGGCCUAAUACUGACGCUGAGGUACGAAAGCAUGGGGAGCAAACAGGAUUAGAUACCCCCGUAGUCCCUGUCUCUUAUAA
rnacentral:rRNA from 1 species